AUGGCGUACAAGGUUGUGCCGAUUUGGAUGUGGUCACCGAUGGCCGGAGUGGUGCGCCUAUGGAACGGUUGGGGGCUCCAAAUCCUAGUGCUUGUUAGCUUUAUGCUGCAAGUGUUCCUGCUCAUGUUUGCUAGGAUGCGACGGCGGAACAUCUCCAUCAUCCCAAGGACCCUCCUCUGGCUAGCAUACCUGCUAGCAGACUACAUAGCGGUAUACAUCCUCGGACACAUGUCCUUCUUUGGUAAAUCGCAUGGGCACCAACAACUCAUGGCAUUCUGGGCGCCGUUCUUGCUGGUGCAUCUCGGUGGCCAGGACAACAUCACCGCCUACUCCAUAGAAGACAACAAGCUCUGGCCACGCCACCUGCUCUCUUUUGUUUCACAGACGAUGGGAGUGGCUUAUGUCCUCUACAAGUAUGCCGCUGGCAGUUUGACCCUGCUCAUCGCAGCGGUGCUGAUAUUUCUCAGUGGUGUUCUCAAGUAUGGGGAGAGAGUAUGGGCACUCAAGUCCUCCAGCCUAGAAAACAUGAAGGUUUUGCAGGGAGCUCAUGACUUGCUCCCCAUUUGCAUGGCUCAGUUGGUGGACUAUAAGUUUUGGCCAUCCACAUUCCAGAGUAAAGCCAUAGAGUUAUUCGAUAACAAGGGUCAAAUGUUCGAGUUGCUUGAGAUGCAACUCUCCUUGAUGUAUGAUUUCUUAUAUACCAAGGCAUCGGUGGUCUUCACAUGGUAUGGAUGCUUCAUUCGUGCCGUUUCAUUAGUUUCCACCAUCACUGCUUUCUUCCUAUUUCGAUCAAGCGUUGGCAAAAAUGAUUUCAACAAAGUUGAUGCCAUUGUCACAUACAUCUUAAUAGUUGGGGCUGUCCUCCUAGAGAUAACAGCAUUGUUGAAGGCAAUGGGAUCAACAUGGACAUGCGCAUUGUUGCAUGCUAGAAGAUGGCAUCUGCUUCAUAGCAUAGUUGUAUCUGUCCGGCGAUUUGUCAAGGCUGCAGAAAGAAAUAGAAGAUGGUCAGGUUCCAUUGGACAGCCUCAGUUGUUGGACUCAUCCCAUGGCAGUGGAGGCUGCAUGUCUGUGCAGUGUCUGGCAAUAGGAUGCAAAGAUUUGUGGAAGAAGCUGGACCACUCCCUACCUAUGAUUUCAGAUGGUACUAAGAAGUUGGUGUUGGAAGAGGUAUGUAGAAUGGUAGGGGCAUGUAAAGGCAAUGAGGAUAUCAUGAGGAGUUAUUGUGGUCAGUGUGCGCUGAAUCAAUGGCACGGUUUAUUCGACGAUCCCACCUCGCGCGUCGGCAUUGAUUUUGAUGACAAAAUUCUUUCAUGGUACUUUGCCACCAAAAUGUUCUUUUCAAGGUCAUCUCCCGUGAAAGAGGAAGAUUAUGUUGUGGAGGCAAUCAGGGCAGUAUCUGACUAUAUGAUAUUCCUCCUUGUUGAACGCCCCUACAUGUUGCCUAGCCCCGUUCGCCCUAGAUUAUAUGCCAAUAAUGAAGCAGCAUACGUGGGGCUUGAUUUAUCUGAGAUGGAACAUAUCAGCAAAAGGGGGAAGUUGGACAGCAGAAGAAGAAUGUCGGAUCUGGACACAAGAAGGGAUGGGGAUGAGCUGGAAAGAGUAUGGGGAAAGCUGGACAUAAUAAAGGAAGAACUGGACAUACUAAGGCAGAAGGCGGACAUAAGUAGUUGGAUUCUGAACAAAAAAAUUGAGGAGAUGGAAAAAAUAAGGUUGGAGGUUGACGGUUCAAGGGAGAGCCUGGAGGAGCUGAACAAAAUAAUGAAAAAGCUGGAGGAUCUGGACAGAAGCAGCGUGGAUCUACGUAAGGGACACUCACCUCCACCUGCCUUAGCCCGUGGAGCGGAGCUUGCUGUUGGGCUGCUAGAGGUGGAGGCGCGGGGCGAUCAGGAGGUGCGGCGGGUGGUACUUGGGGUGUGGGUGGAGUUGUUGUGUUAUGCGGCGCACCACUGCAGUAGGGAUUCCCAUGCCAGGCAACUCAAUAGUGGAGGUGAGUUCAUUACCAUUGUGUGGCUUCUGUCGACUGCCAUGUUCAAUCGCUCCUACUAUGAAAAGGAUUGGUUUAAGAAGGGGGUGGAUGAGUUCUUCAGGUCAACAUUCCAUUCUGAGGACAAGUGCAGAUGGCUCCGGGCCAGCUUUUGGUUGUUCCGGUUCAGCUGCCUGUGGUUAUGGGACAGGUGCAAGCCGUCCUUAUGGUACGGAUGGUUUCGGGACAGCUGCGGAUGGUUCUGGGAUAGCUUUGGAUUGUGCGGAUGUUGUGCAUGGUGCGAAUGGUACGGAUGUUUACGCUGGGUAGUACUUCUUCGCUCCGGUGCCGACGAGGUUUCUCAUGCCCCCAGAACCAGUCGCCAGCGGGGGAGCAGUUCUGUCGACGAUUUCCUUGCAGCUAGAACCAGUCGCCAGCGGGGGGGAGUGGUUCGGGUUUGA
rnacentral:rRNA from 1 species